ensembl:lncRNA
CCACACACAAAAUAUGAUUUUAAGAUGUAGACAUAUACAUAUGUGUAUAUGUCCAUACAUAUACACAUAGUUUGUAUUUUAUAGUCUUGUGUAUGAUUUUAUUUGUUGUUGUUUAUUAGGUUUUAAAAAGUGAAGUCUUAUUAUAAUAGAUUCACACACCUAUAGUUCAUUUCCUUGUAUUGCUUUAGAUAGUUUUCACAAUUUAUAAAUUUAUUGCUUUUUAUAUACAUUGCUGUCUUCAAUUCAUCAUGCCACUGUUACAUUAGGGAGGAUAAUAAGAGUUGAUUAUAUUAGACUCAAUUUUCAACCUCACACUUCUAAUUCUUUUAUCAUUGUUGACUUUCUACAGUUGAGUAGUAACAAAGAUAUUCCUCUUAAACUAGUCAUCAUAUCCCAGUCCCUCAUAUUAAGACUACAUAUCCCUAAUCUAACCUUUUUACUUUACAGGCGAAGAAACCAAGGUACAAAGUGGGGAAAUGAUUUGCCCAAGGCCACAAAAACUUUUCCACCAGUAUCUAGAAGUUGUACUGCACUGAGUUAAGCUUUGAGAUCUCAGGGCUACCUCCAGACCAAGAUGGUGAACUUUAAUGACUAUAAAGUAUUUUAAAUCUUCAACAAUAGCAACAAAAUUAUAAUUCUGGAA